rnacentral:rRNA from 1 species
CUACGGGAUGCAGCAGUGGGGAAUAUUGGGCAAUGGGCGAAAGCCUGACCCAGCAACGCCGCGUGAAGGAAGAAGGCUUUCGGGUCGUAAACUUCUAUCCCAGGUGAAGAUAAUGACGGUAGCCUGGAAGGAAGCCCCGGCUAACUACGUGCCAGCAGCCGCGGUAAUACGUAGGGGGCAAGCGUUGUCCGGAAUGAUUGGGCGUAAAGGGCGCGUAGGCGGCCUUUUAAGUCCGAUGUGAAAGUCCUGCUUUUAAGGUGGGAAUUGCAUUGGAAACUGGAAGGCGUGAGUGCAGGAGAGGUAAGUGGAAUUCCCGGUGUAGCGGUGAAAUGCGUAGAGAUCGGGAGGAACACCAGUGGCGAAGGCGACUUACUGGACUGUAACUGACGCUGAGGCGCGAAAGUGUGGGGAGCAAACAGGAUUAGAUACCCUUGUAGUC